rnacentral:rRNA from 1 species
GACGAACGCUGGCGGCGUGCUUAACACAUGCCAGUCGAACGGAAAGGCCCUGCUUUUGUGGGGUGCUCGAGUGGCGAACGGGUGAGUAACACGUGAGUAACCUGCCCUUGACUUUGGGAUAACUUCAGGAAACUGGGGCUAAUACCGGAUAGGAGCUCCUGCUGCAUGGUGGGGGUUGGAAAGUUUCGGCGGUUGGGGAUGGACUCGCGGCUUAUCAGCUUGUUGGUGGGGUAGUGGCUUACCAAGGCUUUGACGGGUAGCCGGCCUGAGAGGGUGACCGGCCACAUUGGGACUGAGAUACGGCACAGACUCCUACGGGAGGCAGCAGUGGGGAAUAUUGCACAAUGGGCGGAAGCCUGAUGUAGCAACGCCGCGUGCGGGAUGACGGCCUUCGGGUUGUAAACCGCUUUCGCCUGUGACGAAGAGUGAGUGACGGUAAUGGGUGAAGAAGCACCGGCUAACUACGUG